AUCCCUGCCCCCAGGGGUACGGGCAUUGUCUCGGCCCCUGUGCCUAAGAAGUUGCUGAUGAUGGCUGGUAUUGACGACUGCUACACUUCAGCCAGGGGCUGCACUGCCACCCUGGGCAACUUCGCCAAGGCCACCUUUGAUGCCAUCUCUAAGACCUACAGCUAUCUCACCCUAGAUCUCUGGAAAGAGACCGUGUUCACCACGUCUCCACAUCAGGAAUUCACUGACCAUCUUGUCAAGACCCACACCAGAGUUUCUGUGCAGAGGACCCAGGCUCCCGCUGUGGCCACCACAUAAUUUUAUACAAGAAAAAUAAAGUGAAUUAAGCCUGCUAAAAAAAAAAA